rnacentral:rRNA from 1 species
UUGACCUCGAAUCAGGUAGGAAUACCCGCUGAACUUAAGCAUAUCAAUAAGCGGAGGAAAAGAAACCAACCGGGAUUACCUCAGUAACGGCGAGUGAAGCGGUAACAGCUCAAAUUUGAAAUCUGGCUCUUCCGGAGUCCGAGUUGUAAUUUGUAGAAGAUGCUUUGGGUUGUGGGUUCGGCCUAAGUUCCUUGGAACAGGACGUCAUAGAGGGUGAGAAUCCCGUAUGUGGCCGAGGCCCGCGCCUAUGUAAAGCUCUUUCAACGAGUCGAGUUGUUUGGGAAUGCAGCUCAAAAUGGGUGGUAAAUUUCAUCUAAAGCUAAAUAUGGGCCAGAGACCGAUAGCGCACAAGUAGAGUGAUCGAAAGAUGAAAAGCACUUUGGAAAGAGAGUUAAACAGUACGUGAAAUUGUUGAAAGGGAAGCGCUUGCAACCAGACUUGGGCGCUGUCGAUCACCCCGAGUUCUCUCGAGUGCACUCGACAGCGCACAGGCCAGCAUCGGUUCGGGUGGCUGGAUAAAGGCCGUAGGAACGUGGCUCCCUUCGGGGAGUGUUAUAGCCUACGGUGCCAUGCAGCCCAGCCGGACCGAGGACCGCGCCUUCGGGCUAGGAUGCUGGCGUAAUGGUUGUAAGCGACCCGUCUUGAAACACGGACCAAGGAGUCUAACAUCUAUGCGAGUGUUUGGGUGGUAAACCCAUACGCGGAAUGAAAGUGAACG